rnacentral:piRNA from 1 species
UGAGGGAUAAAAGACUACACACUGGAC